CCCAUGAGCUCAGCGCCGACACCCUGGCUGUGGAAGGCAGAGGGAAGUGCGCUCAUUCAUGAUGUCGCUGUGACAUCGUAGGCAAGGAGACAUGGCCGGCAUCUGCCCUAACUUGCUGGCUGGGGCCAGUAAACUGAUCUAGAAGAGUGGCUUCAUCCGAGGUGUAAUGGCUGGCGAGAGCAGGUGGCACCACGGACUCAAACUCCCCAGUCCAGCCUUGUUGCCUGAGUUCUGUUCAAGACCCUGCAGGGGGCAGGUAGGACUUGCCUCCCUUGUGUGAGGCACCUCCUCCCUCAGCUCCUCUUCGAACAACACACUCUGUACAAAGGAGCUUUCGGGCUCAGCGAGCCCUGUGCUCAUUUAGGGUAGCUCCUGUCCCUAGGCGUGCUCACUGAAGACUUCGGCUACCUCCUACCCUGCUCUAUGGUGACUGGCCAUCCUCAAGUAUCCCUCACAGGACCCCCACUAGCUUCACUAGCAUCUGCCCACAUUGCUCUGACAAGAUGGGCAACACAGAGGGUGACGUCACUGGAGAACAAAUAAGGAGCCACGCUGUUUACCUGGGGGAGGAGAGGCCUCCACUCACUGAAGGGGAGGAGGGUGGGGUAGGCGAAGCCUCCUUGGCCGCAGGAGAUGUAGAUGCAGACGGUGGGGUUGACGAGAGUACACUGGAGCCUGAGGGGGCUGCGUCAUCAGAGUCUCCUUUGGAGAAGGGUCAUAGGCCAGCAGUCAGACACCAUUCUGUUCGGGCCCCACAGCUGGCUGGAGCCUGGACUAGGACUGGAGGGGCAGCUCUUGGGGUAAGUUGGUAGGCAGAGGAGCUUAUGUGUGUGGGUGUGGGGCGGGGGGCAGGAUAUUCUCUCUUGUCUAGGAGAACUGCUCAGUUUGCCUUGAUCUGAGGCUUUGUGAGUAAAGAAGAAUCAGCAGAAACGUGCUGGUCCUUAAGAUCAGAGGGAUUACCUACCCAGAGGGCCAUUCUAACCGUCCUCAGAGAAGGAUGAGGUUACCUGACGUGGCUGAAGAUGGUUCCACAAUUCCAACCUUCACAACCUGGGAAGCAAUAGAUGCUGGCUAGAGACAAGGAGGGAGGUGGGGGAGCUCUACUGCCCUACUUAGGCACCCGCCUUGGAGCUAAUCUCUGGUAGGCUUCUAUGGUCCUGCUGCUGCCAAGCUUGUGUGUCCACACAAAAGGGAACAGGUCCCAGCAUCCUCCCACCUGUGGGCAAGGCUCAGCUCUGGUGCAUGUGACUUGCCAGUCCCUUAGACUAGGAUGCUGGCAUGAGAAGGCCGCUGCAGAAGUGGGCACUGUUCACUGUGUGGGGGCCACUGGGCCAGUGGGGAAAGUGCCUCAGGCAUGAGCUAUCUAUCGAGCAUGGGCCUUUAGCUACAAGAACCUGUGUCAAUUCAGAGCAAAUCACAACACCAAAUUCAGAGUCUCAGCCAUGUCACAUGACCAUAGGGCACUUUUGUCACUAUAGAAGGGGCCCUGAACAGGAUGCUAUCGAGACAAAUGGGCUGUGAAAAUGGGACCUCACAUUUCAGUCACAGCUCGCCUGUGCCAGGAGGUACAGCCCUGACUGGGCAUACAUGCCCAAGGCUUGUCUUUAUGUUCUAGCAAACAGGUCUGAGACUCCUCUCCUUAGCGCUGAGAUAACCCUGACAGCCUGAUCCAUCUCCACAGAAAAGGGCACACUUUUAUGUGUUCACUGUGCAAACCAAAAGCCCCAACUAAAAAAAAUGCAGGAAGGAAACAGGGAUUUAUAAGGAGGAAUUAGGCAGCCCUUGGUUGACUCACCCCAAGGUUCUGUACAUGUAAGCUAAUACAAAAGUGCUCUAUUGAGACCGCAAUCUUGGCAGGUUCAUGUUCCCAGUGAGUGAAGCUGGUGAUACUCACCCCGACAAAAGGAAUGAACCGCUGAGAGGAUUCUUCAUCAGGGCUGGGAGUAAAAACAGAUAGUUACACUCCCUCCUGGAGCAUUUGACCCUGGCUGUACUACUUCAUCCCGAACCCCAGUCCUCAGCCACAUCACCUGCCCACAGUUGCUACAGAAAGGCCCCUGGAGGGGUUGGGGAUUUAGCUCAGUGGUAGAGCGCUUGCCUAGGAAGCACAAGGCCCUGGGUUCGGUCCCCAGCUCCGAAAAAAAGAACCAAAAAAGAACCAAAAAAAAAAGAAAA